UUGAUUUAUUAUAUAUAAUUGAAAGUUGCUGAAUAAUGUAAAUAGUGGGUAAAUUCAACUUUCUUUUGCCCUGGAGAAAUUGAAUGAAUGUCUCUUUUCUCUGUAUCUCUGUGUUUCUCCAGAAUAUUAUCAGAGUUCCUAUAUCACUAAACUUGAGAUUAUUGAAGCUGUUUAGCAAGGAUAAGGUAUUAUUUUUGACUCCAACUUCACUAAUUUUCUUUUCGUAUAGUGUCUUCGAGAAUUUCCAAGGAGGUUCAGGUGACCAACAGGAAAAUAUUUCUACAUUGUAUGGCUCAUUGUUAUGAAAACAUCAUUAAAUCACCAGUUCCUUAGAACCCUGAUGCAGUAUCUUGUCCAGCUGUAGGUUAACUCAACUAGCUACACUCAGUCCAUUAAACACAAACCAAAGCAUGGGAACAAUAACUGGAUCUUUGCUUUGACAGUUAUGACCUGACAUUCCAAGAACUAAUUUUAACUUCUUUUCUCUGGAUCAAAGCAAUUCAAUGGGAGCAAACUCAUGUGAAAUAAAGCAAAUAUAUUCUCAUUUUGUGGUGCCCACUCCUUGUCAAAUUCCAUCCUUUUGUUCUAUAAAGAUGUCCUCUAUAAAAUUCACAAAAAUAGGCUUUUCAUCUAGCUUUUAUAUGUUCACCCUUGUAAAAUACAUCUUGAUUUCUUUAGAUUUGUAGGAAAUGUUAAUUUCAGGUGCAUCUUAUUUCCUAAUGCAAAUGCUAUACAUAUACUGUCAAAGAUGUGUAUACACACCCCUCUAUUUGAUCCUAACCUCUACGUAAAAUUCCAGUGGAACAAUCUUUGUGCUGUUGAACUUCAUGGCAGUCUGGCUCUCCCAACACAAGGAAAUCUUUUUUUUUCUUUUCUCUGAUGCUUGCAAUGUUUUUCCUCUAAAAUUUGUUUUAGUUCAACAGAUUUCUCUCUAUCAGUAAAUUACACUUACAGAUUUAGACUAUUGUCUGUUAUAGAGAUGCGGUGAAGGAAUUACUAAUAAAUACUUUAUUGAUAUUGUGCAUCGUGCCAGAAAACAGAUAACCUGCAGAGAAGACCCACACAGUGUCACCAGACUGAUUUAGCUGUCUUUUCACCUGAGUGAGUUCACCCUUUUAGUUCCUGCCACGAUACCUCUUGCUGUCUAUUGGGCUGGUCCACAAUGUAUUACUGUUCUACAUACCACACACAUGUGCUACAGAUGCUCAUUUUAAAUUUUGGAACUCAACUGUAAUAAAUUCAGCACAUUAAUAUUUGGUUAAGAUUAAGUUCUGGGAGACUGUCAUGGGAAAUCCAUCAGUCAAAUUCAUCUCUAACCAGGCAGCGAUGAUUCCAUUGCUACAAAAUAAACCCUUGUUAUGCCUCCCCCUCAGGCUCACAAUCUUUUCUAUUUCUUCGUGAGUAAGAUGUAAAUUUAAUCUGCACGCUAACAUUUGCUUACAAGCUGUGCAGAAGAACUCAGGGUUUUGGUAAAACAGAUCUUUGAAGGAGACAUGUUAUUAGCUAUAUAAGUCAAAGUGGACCCAAAUUGCUCUUUGCCUUUCAUUUAGACUGAGUAAUUAUUCCUUUUCCCAGUGUUAGGCAGUCAAAUUCUAUCGAAGUUAUUGUGUUGAGGAUAUGACGUGAGGCCUGGGGGACAUCUAAUUUCUGUGUUCUGGCCAUAGAAGAAGACAGUGUCCUCAGAGAAUUGAUAGGAAGACACCAAAUAGAAUUAGGCAAAACAGUGAGGAAGAAACCCAGAGAGGUUGAUGUAUGACUGUGGGAUAUGUGCCAGAGUGAGAGAGGGUGACUAAGGACUAAGUCAGGUAGAUAGGAAUAAGGUUGCAGGAAAAGACCUCUUAAGACCUUUGGGAAGAAUGCUGUUAGGGAAGGGCAUUCCAUCAUGUAACCUGGAAAUCCUCAGCAAGCAUUUCUUUUCCUGUAACUUUCCUAACCCCUUGUUUUUUCCUCAGGCUCUGGGCAUCUCAAAGCUGGGAGCUGACACUGGUGUUCAUGCUGCUUCUCAUGGUCUUCUCCUUCAUCAUGGUCUGCCCUGCUGUGUGAAGGUUGUGGUCCUUUGAGCUCAUGUUCUUCUGACAGAGCACUUUCUCCCUCUGGUUUUCUCAUCUUCACAACUCUGGGCCCCUCCUUUCAUUUAUCUCAGACUUUACAACUGGUCCUUAGAUUUUCUCUACAUCCCAAUUCUUGCUAUUCUCAAGAAUAGCAAGCUUCACAACACACAUAUCUUUUCUUAUCUCCUUUCUUUCAAAUCUCCUUAGCUACACAUUCCCACGGUCCCUUCUUAGACUUUGCCACUACCUGGAACUACCCAACACUCAGUCUCUCAGUCACCCUUAACCACUAUGUUGACUAUGUCCAGAUUUUCUGUUCAGCCCAAAGCAUAACACAUGGCUAUUAUUAUCUUCAUAGACUCUUUUCCAUCCUUUCUUCCCAUUAAUCUAUUUUCUUUAUCUCUCUUAAUUUACAGUUCAUAUUUCCAAGUUCAUUAUUAUAAUAACAUUCUUGCCAAUAACGCAGCCUAAUUGCUCUCUUUAGUCGUACUUUUUCAUUGACUCAAUUUAUUUAGCUUCUUUGUGAUCACAUUAGAACACACAUGGCAGAUAUAGUAUGUUCUCUUUUGAGUUACACAUAUUGGUUGCCAUUUUCAUAGCUUUUCCAUACUUAUUUUUUAUCUUGUUAAAAUGUAUAGCCUUCUCACUGUCUUUCUCUGCUUGAUGACCAUUUCAAAUAAUCAUUGCCCUUCUCCAAUUUCUAACCUUUACUUUUCUUUUAGUAUCAGAUGAUGUCACUUCCAAUUAAGUCCUAUCUUUCCACCUGGGUUUUGUAUCCCAUCACUUCCAUUUAUCUUAUUAAUCUGAAUUAUUUUUCCCUUUCUUUCUUGAAUACUUAUCCUGGAUUCUUCCCUUUACCCUUUAAAUAGACUUAAAUAUCCACACUAGAUAUUAGCUAAGCAACCCAGCUCCAAUCCAUUUUAUAUGUCAACUUGGCUAGGCUAUAGUAACUAAUUGCUUGGCUGAAAACUAUUCUAGAUAUUGCUGUAUAGAUAUUUUGUAGAUGUGAUUAACACUGAGUAUUAACAAAUUUAAAUAAAGCAGGCUACCCUCCAUAACAUAAAUAGGUCUCAGAUUAACAGUAAAGGACCUUAAGAGCCAAGAUGGUUUCCUUAGGAAAAAGGAAUCCUGGCUCCAAACUAGAGCAGAAAUUCUGUCUGAAUUUCCAACCCACUCAGAUGCUCUACAGACUUCAGAUUUAGCAACCUCUAUAAUCUUGUGAGCCAAUUAAAAAAAUUCUCUCUCUUUUUCUUUUGUUAUAUGUCCAUCUAUCUAUACAGAUUGGAUAGAUAGAUAAGUCCUACUGAUCCUGUUUAUCUACAGAUGGAUAGAUAGAGUGAUCCUAUUGGUUCUCUUUACCUACAUAUGCCAGUCUAGUACAGUACAAAACUUUGAAAAGCCAACAGUUGUAAGGUCCUUUCUGCUUAAGCAUGUACAUUUUUUAUUGUUGCUAUCACUCGUGGACUUUCGACUUUAGCUCUUCAGUUUGUAGACCUAACAACUCUCCCAUGAAGUUCCAGUCCAGACUAGUUCCUCUUAUUCUGAGACUUCCAGAUUCUUGGACUUAUCAGCUACUUACUGAAUCCUCCAGCUCUCCAGAAUGUAAAAGGCCUCUGUGGGACUAUCUAGGCUAUGAUGCUAUAAGCUAAUAUAAUAAAUCUUCUUUUAUCAUUUCAUAUAUUCUACUGGUUCUGAUCCUCUAGAGAACACUGGACAGUACAGCUAUAAAAUAAAAAAGGAUAAAAAUAUGGAGAGUUCUGUAUUAUACUAAUAAUAGCAGAUGGGCUGAAGGUAUGCUGAGAUAUCAGUUAUAGUCAGUUGAAGUAUUGCAUGGAUUCGUGGAUGCCAAAAUACUUUUGAUGGUAAUAUUGUGUAUAAACAUGUAUGUGUAUAUUCCUUCAAGUAAUUAAAAGAAAGGAAUUAGAAACUCAUAUCCUGAGCUUUUACAUAGCUAAGUGUUUAAAUAGUGAUGUAUUUGCAAGGAGUAUUGAUGUAUCACACAUCAUACUUUGAAAAUUUCUACCAGAUGAAUUGUCAUCAUGUCUAGUGUUCACACGUAGCACUGGAAAAAAAUCAGUAACCAUGAGCUUGUGUUCCGUUUGGACAAUGCUAGGCACUUGUCACAAUCUUGGCCCCAAAUGGAUUUCUAGGAGGUAGCUAUCCAGGAGACAUCAUUGCGUUUUUCCAAUAUCCAUGGACCAAUUUUUGUUUUACUGAGUCAGAGACCUGGCAGAACCCACAUCAGUGAGUGGAUCUGAGUUUUCCACUGCAGAGAGGGGGCCAUAUCUCAACCCCAAAUAGUUGAGAACCAUCCCUGUCCUGAGAGCUCCUGGGAGAAUAUUUUAGAAACUUAGCCAUUUAUUUAGUGUCAAACAACUCGCCUCAUUAAGUAAUUCUUCUGUAUAUCUACCCUCUGAAAUCUGAGGCUAAGCCUGUUUACACUGUUGUGCCCCAGAAGAGAUGAGGAAAAGUUUGCUUACCAUACAUACAAUCAUGCCCAUUCAGGUCCUUUCACCUUUGUUUUUUUGUUUUUGUUUGUUUUUGUUUGGUACUGGGGAUCAAACUCCGGUCCUUGCGCUUGCAAUCCUUUCACCUUUGUCUCUUCUGGUUUAUAAGACAGUUUCAGGUUUCUUCACUUUCUCUCACUGGUGUAUAUCUAUUUUGAACUUUACUUGGAGGUCUUGAAUAUCCUUGUAUUUUUUUGUUAAGCAAAAAUUGUAUUAGUAUCAGGAAAGUAGUUUAGCCAGAGGUCCAAAAUCCCCUGAUUUUUACUCAGAGGCUAACUCAGAGGCUAAUGUACUUUCUUCUUCACGUCAAUAAACUCUCUCAGAUCUCUCCAUCAAUACCUAGCAUUUCUAGAAUGCAAACUGUCAACAACCAAGGAUGUAUAGGUGUUCAGUUAUUUGGAGAAAGAAGGGAAUUGUUAGGAGAAAAAUAAAUUGUUUUAUUAUUUUAAAGGCUUAAGAGUGAGAAUAGAAACCAUGUUGGAUUUCUCAUUCCCUGCAGGCAGGCGCAUUCUACUACCUAUCACUAUCUAAGUGGGAGUCUGGAUGUAGUUAGGUCUGUGGUCAUACCUGAUCUUAAGGGUUUUUGGUGAUGCAGACACUAAUCCUUAUGGCUAUCCACUGGUGGUUCAAGCACAAGAUUGUGAGAGUCCUAAAUUCAGCUGGCUUGGACUUCUGCUUUGUGAGUGCAUCCUCCUCACCUCCUGAAACACCCCCUCUCUAGUGCUAUUUGUAAGAAUAACAGAGCCAACACUUACUGGGAACCUAUAAAGUGCAAUGCAUUUUGGUAAAGGCCUUACAUAGAUUACAUAAUAGAAUUCUCUCAACAAUGUCACCAAGUGGGUGCUGUUCUCCCAUAUAUUUUAUUGAUUAAAAAACUGAGGCAUAGAAACAGUUAACUUUCCCAAAGUCAACACCUACAAACUCACAAAGUUUUAAAUCCAUAUUUUUUUCCUCUAGAAGCAUGGAAUUAAAUGCUUUACCUUCUAUUUCCUUCUGUUUGUUAAUUAAUUGAAAUCUUUCCAAUUUGUGUUAGGUUACUAUUUGUGAAUGUAAAAUUGGUCCCAUUUUUUACUCCUCUCUAUUCUCAUAUCCUUUGCAAUGGCACAUGGUAGAAUUUCUCUUCAAGAGAUGGAUCUAUUUCCUUACUUUCCUGGCUGUGUGAUUGUAUCUUGGCCAAUAGAAUGGAGAGAAUCAAUCAAUGCCACCCUGGAGCUCCAUAGAUCUUGGGUUAUUCUGAUAUUUUUCCUUUUUUCUUUUUCUUUUUUAUUAGUACAUGUUUGCAGUACAUAGGGAUUACAUUUAUCAUAAGAAGUUAUUGCAUAUAUAUAGUAAAUCUUUUCUUUUUCUCUCCAUCCUUUCUCCUCCUUUCCCUUCUCCCUCCAGAAACCUGUUUAUUGUCCAGUGAACAAGCCUAGAACAGGCUGCUAGAAAUCAGAUACCUGGUGGAAAGAACUCCAGUAGUACUAUCUGUAUUAGUCAACUGUCCUGUGGCUGAGACACAAUACCCAGCAUCCACACUUGAAGGAGGAGAGAGAUCUCUGAAGCCAAGAAAAUUGACACAAUGAAGCAUAACUGUGAUACCAUCCAAGGUGACCUGCAAAAGCCAAGGCAGAGAGUCCAGCCUGAAUCAGAAGGACGUUCCUAACCUGUAACAGGGGUGUGAAUGACCCAGGACCAUGAGUGACAGCUGUCCUGGAACACCUUGAGAAUAGUAAUGAAUGUUUUUUAUUUUAGAAUUCUUGGAAUUUUCUUAUGUAACCAACUUAACAGAUGCAUCAUCAUGGAAGUCAGAAGUUCAAUUUGCUGUCUAAUUUUUAUCCUCUAAUUACAAUUCAUUCUUCCCUUUGCAUCUUCUUUCUUUAAAGUUAUUUUAUGUAAUUAUUUGAACAUUUUAUUGUUAUUUACCAUUAUUUUCUACUACAAUAAUAGAAAAUAGAGAAAUAAAUGUACUGGUGGCAAGAGUAUCAUGAACAUAAUACAAACCAGAAAAAUAAAGAACAUUAUGAGUCAAGUUAAAAGUGGUAAAUCAGGGCCGGGGAUUUAGCUCAGUGGUGCCACCGCCUGCUUUGCAAGUGCAAGGUCCUGAGUUCGAUCCCUGGUACCAAAAAAAAAAAAAAAACAACAACCAAAAACCCCCAGAAAAAACAAAACAAAACAAAAACAGUAUCCUAGCACCACACUGAACCAAAACUUCAAUCUAGCAGAAUCUUUUGAUCUGAGUUUCAAGAAAGAUAUUCACCAAAUUAAAGGCUUUGGGGUGAACAGAACUGUACCUAUUCUGAACUUCAUAGUCUCUGAUUUUUAUUACUCAUAUUUUCUGUCAUCUUUGUCAGCAUGUAAAUUUCUGGAAGGUAAAUUCUCUGCCUUAUCUGUCUAUCUCUCAUACAUUCAUUUAUGCUGCUUUCAUUGAACUGAAUUUGUAGUGAGUAGUUCUCUUUUUGUCAAAAUAUGUCUUGUGCACAGAUUUAAAUAAAGCUGGCAGACCAGUUACUUCUAAUUUUAGGAUAAUAUGAAAUGUGUAACCUUUACAUUUUCUUUUGAUCUUUAUAUGCAACAAAAGUAUAAUCUGAAAAUUUCUAACAGGCAAUUUUUCUGAAAUUGCAAUGUGUUUUUCUCCAUUGUCAUCAAAAUAGAAAAACAUUGGCUCAAUUAGUUUCCUUAAAAACAAUGCUGGGAUUGAAAUAGUUUUGGAAAUAACUUAUUGGGGAAUAACUUUUAGCAGAAAGUAAGUGAAGGAAGCAUGACGGAGCAGAGGAAAAGCUAAGCAAAUGUGUUACCUGGCUAAACAUAAUUUUCAGCCCAAUCCUAUCUAUGGGGGGUGCUGGAUCCUAUAUUGUAUCACAGAGUUAGUUCCACUUUGAGGCAGAUAGGUCAAAUACCUGUGCAGCUUCCCAUGCAUAAUGUGUCUCUGUGUAGUGUGCAUGCGCACACCUAUGAGUGUAUUCCAAGGAUACUCUAGAGAAGAGGGAAGCUAGGAGUCAUUAACUCUCACAUUAUCUAGGGAACUGAUGUACUGGCUCAGUGAAGAAUUCUUGGCCAAAUACCUUUAGCAUUUCUUGAACUUUUCUUAGGAAGAAAUGAAUGCAUAGACUCUAAUUGUUCAGGAACUUACAAGGUUAAAACAGUAGCUAUGUUCAUGUAAUCUAAGGUAGAGGAAAGAACAGUCAACUCAACAACUGAGAAUGUACUGUGUUUCUGUGUGAAUAGAUGUAAAGAAUGUAUAGAUGCUCACAGAAACUUAUACAUAAAUGUUUGUAAACAGGUUCUACAUAGAUGCAUACACAAAAGUACACACAUCCCUGUAUAAAUAGAAAAAGUUCUAUAAAAAUACAUCAAAACUCAGUCAUAAUUAUCAAAGAUUUGUGGUAUUAAAAGUAUUGUUUUUCUCAGUUUCACAUUUUUCUCAGCUUAGCAUGUAUGGAUUAAAUAAUUAUGAAGAAAAAUGUUGGAGAAAAUAAUGUAGAUUACUUUUAAAUUUUUGUUUUCUGACAUGGAACAUAAACAGGUUGAAUGAGUCUUUAAGGAUUUCUCCAGAUCUCAAUUUAUCAGAUUCUGAGUCAAUAUGAAUUUCAUGAGUAAAUGUCUAUUAUAGAUGGAGAAUAAAUAAAAACCUUCCCUUUAAGCACCAGAGAACAAAUCAGGAACAAAGAAUCCCAAGGAUAGCUCCUUUUACUGUAAGAGGAAAAUUUCUCAGUUUUUACUGAAAAUCACCCUUAGUGGUUUUUAGUAUUGUUUGCAGUGGGGAUUUUCCACUGUAGCUAAAACACCUAAAACAAGAAGAGCUUGCGUGGUUGCUUUCUGGUCAGUUUGCAGAGAUGAGUGGAAAUUUUCAUAAAACAUAGCUCUGUAGAAGAGAGAAACACAGCAGUUGAGAUGAGUGGGAGAAACCAGAGUUGAGAGAGAUUAAGAGAUUCUUAGAAUCUGAAGGUAAAUUGAAAGCUUUGUGUGUAGAAAUAGUUUCAGAAAGAUGUAUGUACAUCGUCUCUGAGAUCUUAAACUCAUUUACAAGCUUAGAGUGUUCAAUUUCCUAUUUCAGGCCUCAUGUUUUCUAUAAAUCUGCAACCCAAACAUUUAAUCAUUUAUUUAGAAUUUCUACGUGGAAGUCUCAUAGUCAUUUCAAGCUGAAUAUGGCCCAAUCUAGUCUUUAGUUUCCUUCAUAGCCUGGCUCUCCUCAGGCUUUUCCAUCUCUGUAAACAUUACUACCAUCAACCCAGUUUCUAAAGCCAGAUGCCUGAGAGUCAUUCUCCAUUUCUCCUUUUCCAUCAUCUUCCACAUCCAAUUCAUCAGCAACUCCUGUCAACUCUCUCUCCAAAACAUGCCUCAUACCCUUCUGUUUUUCUCUAUCUUGAGAACUCCUACUCUAUCUAUACCAACAUCAUGUUGUGCCCAGACUUCUGCAAGAGCCUCCAGAUUGGUUUCAUCAUUUCCAGUCUUGCCCCUUUUCUGCAUCAUAACCAGAGGGAGCUUUGAAAAACUGAAAAUCAGUCACUUUGCUUAAAUCCAUUGUUCUAGGAAUACUAUGGCUUCGAUAAAUAUCCCCCAAAGGCUCAUGUUUUAAAGACUUGGUCUCCAGCUCAUGGAACUGCUGGAAAGUAGUGGAAGAGGAUAGAAGAGGUAUUCAUGUUACUGGGCUGUGUCUUUGAGGGGGUAUUAGAACCCUUUCCUCUACUUUGUGUCUCAGCUGUCAUGAGUUGAGCGGCUUGUCUCACCACGUGCUCGCUACUAGAAUGUGCUGUCUCAUCAAAAGUGCAAAAAUAAAGGACCAAUUUGCUAUGAACUGGAACCUUCCAAAGUGUAAGCCAGAAUAAAUCUUUUCUAAGUUGUUUAUCUUAGGUGCUUGCUAUAGUAACCGAAAUCUCACUAACACAUAGAAUAAAAACUGUGCUCUUAUCCGUGACCCACAAAUGCUUGCAUAGCCUUGUUUAUUCUCCUCCUGAUUUCCAAUUCCCAUUCUGUUUUGUAAUUCCCAGAAGGUCUAAAUUUUUAAGUCCCCAAAUUCACUCACUUAGGCCACAAGGCCUUUUUCUACUCUUCCUUCCACCUGAGAUAUGUUUUUCUAUUGAUCUGAUCUCAUUGUAUUUUGCUUCUUUUGCCAGUUCUAAGCAUACAUACUACUUCAUCAGAAAGACUUUUCUGUAACAUUCCUAUUAGCAAUAGCACCUUACUCUUAUUCUGUGUGAUAAUACCCUGUUAUUUUUCAUUUAGCAGUUAUUAUAGAUUCUUAUAAUUCUUCCCAGCUUGCUCCACUUGAGUAUGUGGUCUCAGCAGACAGAGACUUUGCAUUCUUUGUGGGAAAUGUACUUUCUACGAUAUGCCUGGCUCAUAAUAAAUUUUUGGUAAGUCUUUGUUGAAUGUAUGAAUAGAUGUGUGUGGGCAUGAACCUCAACUGAUAGGCAAUCCAAACAUUUUUGACUGUGACAAGAUCAUAAUAUGUAGAAUAAUGUCUUUAGAAGUAGUUACUUGAAGAUCAUUCUCAGUUGGAUAUAUUAGCUCUAAACCUUUAGAGAGUUUACUUGAGAAAAAAACACAUUUGUCUAUUAUUAGAGCUCUGUCUGUAAGGUAUCAGUGGAAUGUACAUGUAUAUAUGAUGCAAAAAGCCUUGCUCCUAUGGAUUUUACUAUAAUAGAGUCAUGUGUCACUUAAAGAUGUGCACCAAGAAGGCAGAUCCAUUCUUGGGACAGGAGUGCAAGGCAAUUUCAUCAUUGUGGAAACAUCAUAGAUGGCUAUGAGGUCACUUGGCGAUACGUGCAAUACAUUUGUUGACUGAAGCAUUGUGAUGUGGUGCAUGACUACUUAGCUGUUCAGUUGGUAUCUUUAAAUCUCCAGUGUGUGUUCUGAGAGUCUUGAACUAAUGAGAUCCUGGUAAACAGCCUGAAAUGGACUUUGCAGAUUCUACAUAAAGCAUCAACUGAUUUUCUCAGCACACAUUAUCAAAUUCCCUUCCCAUUUAAAGUUUGCUUUUUAUCAGAUGUAACCCUUUCCUGAGCCUGUGUUGUGAAUAUUUACAAAUGAUGCAGUCUGUGAGUAUGUGAGGAAUUUCCUAAUUCUAUCUUACAUAAUAUCAGACUUAGAAAAGUGGUGUGUGUAAAGGAUUUUCCCUGGACCCACAAGAUGUAGAUAAUUAUUGCAUGAAAGUUAUUGUUCCUAUGAUUUUAUGUUAAGUACUUCCUCUAAUAUACAGUCAAAAAGCUUCAUGUUUUGCUCUUAUUCAUCCUUUUCUCAGUCUUCACAGCAACCUGUGUCUGACUCAGAACCUAAUUGCUAAAAUCUUAGUCCCAUUAAUAUUUUGUGUCUGAUAAAUUACAUUAGAGUCAACUGAAUUUAAAAGUCAUUCUAAAAGACCUCUGAAAGAAAUAGCUCCUGGCAAUUAAAAGAUAAUUUAUAAUCAUCAUAUAUUGACUAAGGUUGGUCAUAAUAUUUAUAAAUAACCAUAGAAACACAUGACUAACAGGUUCUACACUGUUGCUUCCAAGCCUCCUUCCCGCACCAAGGGAGUCAUAUAACACAGUCUGAAAUGCCAGCUGAUGGCAAGCAUUACUUACAGUAUCAAGAUAGGAAAACUAGACCUGCUGUACUGAUUCCUUCAUGGGUCAUUUUGCAAGCUACCCAGGCUCAACCUCACAGCCUCCUGAUGACUGGUGGUUGAUGAAACCAUAGUCCAACUAUGAUUGCUUAGUUGAGCAAAGGGAUUUCAAAAACAGCGUAAAUAUUUUAAAAUAGAGUUACUUUCUAUUCCAUCCUGUAAAGAUAAUAGAGGCAAUCUUCACACAUGGUAUGGAGGCUGCCCAUCCAGGUUCAAAAUGAAUGUAGUAUGAUCUCAGAUGAUGAGUUAAAGGCAGAUUGUGAGUGGUACUGGGCAGCUGCGAAGCCAAGUGUCAGAGGACGGGUGCUCUUUGGGAAAGCUGUUUCAGCCUAAGUAAGCCUGUCCUAUGAAGUCAUACUGGGAAAUGCAUGUCCCCACAUCUUUUAUCAAAGAAUGACUUCAAAAGGCCAGAAACAAGUGCUGUCAGGCAUUGGAAUGCAAUGAAAGCAAGCAAGUUGGCUUUCCAUGAUCAGAAAUGUUAAAACUCAUGUCAGUUUUGAUGCCAGACAAGAUGACAUCUAUCCAUUUAUUCCUGACAUUUAUGUCAAAUUCCCAUAUAUUUUGGCUUCUAAGUUAUGUAUUGAGGAUAUGGCAGUGAACACAAAAUAUGGUCCUGGCUUAAAUAUGGAGGAGGUAUCUAUAUGUUAAAUAAUUAGCCCUCAUGACAAACAACGCUAUAAGCUUUAGUUAGUAAAGUGUUAAGAAUUAAAAUGUUCAAAUUAGAAAUAUAUUGUGUGAAUAUAUUCAUAUAUUCUUAAAGGGGAAAAGUUCUGAAUUUUAGGGUCUCUGAGUCUUUUUAGUCUUCUAAUAUAAUAUUGAGAAGGCACUGAAUAAGUAUUAAACAAAAUUAACAAAGUGAAUCUUUUCCCUUGUGUUUUGGAUGAGUUCUCUGUUUUUAAAAUUAAAGAUUGUAACUUGGAGGCUAAUUUGCUACUACUCUGUUUCAGGAUUCUUCAAACACACAGGAGAGAGAUACAAGGCCACUCUGUGUGUUUACAUAACAUGUUUCUUUCCUGAAAAUGUAAGUCAAAGACCCUGAUUUCCCUUUACCUUGGAACACUUCAGAGUGUGUUUUCUAAAAACAAGGACAUCUCCUAAACAGUCACUGUAUAAUGAUGAAAAUCUGGGAAAUCAAUAUGUGCACAAUACGAUUAUCUAAUUUAGAAACUCUUCAGAUGGUUUCAGUUCCUCCAGAGUUAUUUUUCUGGACCAGAGUCUACUCCAAGCUCCUACACUAUCAGGUCUCUCUGAUGAUAAUGUAUCUGAAAUUAUUUUAGGUGUUUCUUGGUUUCCUAUGACUGUAGCUCCUUAGGAGAGCACAAAAUACUCACCAUAGUCAUGCUGCUUAAUGAUAAGAAACAUGCAAAACCCUCAGAAUCACACAGAAUCAGGCUGAAUGUAACAUGGCAGGAGCACCACAGAGUGACACCGAGUUCCUCUCUGUAUCAAGCUCAAUUUUGAAAUUUGAAAUCAUAAGUAUCAGCGAGUGUGACCUGGACAAAAUGUAAUAACUUUUAUGAAUUUCAUUAUCUUGAUCUGCAGAAGAAAAAUAUUAAUUAAGCCUCACGCUACUGCUAGAAAAUUAUGUAAUAAGGUUAAUUACUUGUCUCAUUGGCACAAGUGAAUUGCUAAAGUUAUGUUGCUAUUACUAACUCUGUCUUAGAUGGUAGUCCUUCAGUAACUGCAGUGAUUGAUACUGAGGUUCCUUAGUAUAUCACCAGGAGAGUAGCAAAAGCUUUCUGAUUUGUUAUUAGUUUUGGCAAAACACUUGGCAGGAGGGAGAGGUGGCUGCAAUGACUGUUUCAUGUGAAUCACUCGGCCCGGCAGACUAAUCCUGUCCAUGAUAACUCAUGGAACCCUGGGCUUCAAGUCAUAAUCCAGUAAUACAGUCAAGUAAAAAUAAUUUCCACCUGGCCUUAGCGAGCCAUUUGGUUGAAGAAAAAGUGGCACAAUUUGGGGCCUAUUUGAGGGAAUGACUGAAAGCCAUGAGAUACUCCAUCACACUUACCUCAUGCAGUGGAACUUAAUUUUUUAAGGGUUAAUUGCCUCAGACUAAAAAGAGGUCAUCUUGGCUUAUGUUGUCUUUCUGAAACUAGAUUUUGUUUUUAGAGUAGUUUUAGAUGCACAGAAAAAUUGUGCAGAAGGCCCAAAGAUUUUCCAUGUAUCUUUUUUUUUUGCACUUUAUUAAAUUCUUUUAUUGGUACAUUGUAGGUAUAAAACACAAUUACAUUUCUCAUUGGGAAUUGUACCUUUAUAUAAUGC
rnacentral:lncRNA from 1 species